GCCUGUUUGGCCUAGUGGUUAAAGCACCAGGCUAGAAACCAGGAGACUGUGACUUUUAGUCCCACUUUAGGCA
rnacentral:tRNA from 1 species